GGACUGUGUUAACACCAACAUUCUAUCAGGCAUACAUUAGUCCUUUGUGACUUUAUGUUAUAAUUCUCAUGAAGUUUAUCACUGAUUGGGGAGUCAAAAGAGUUUGUUCAUGUAUGCUUGUAGAAAUCCGAAUCCAGGAGAGGGUGUUUAUGGGAAUCGGCCACAAGCCAUUCAUUGAUCUUCAACACAACGAUGCUGCAAUCUGUGAUCGAUCUGUCAGCUGUGUCUUACCUGACAAAAUCCCUGUGGCCUGUUGUUCACACAGGGGCCUAGAUUAUGCCCGGCCUCACUCCAUUGGCUCUGGCAGCACCACCUCCACCACCUUCAGCCAAUCGUCUUCCUCGUCUGGCCGAGGCUCACUACCUCCUGCUGGAUUUCCAAGCAACCAAUCCCAGGGAAUAAACGUCAAUCCAGGUGUGUGCUCCUCUCCUGAAGCUGUGACUGACAACGAGAACAACAGUCUUCUUUAUCAGCAUCAGAGCUAUAAACAGUGGAAAAAUCACCAUCCUCUGUUGGACAGCACUGAGUCGUCUGUGGCGUGUACAAAUGUCUUCACCAGCUCUGAGCGCAGCUACUUGUCUGACAUUAGUGCAGAGGUAGUGGAUGACUCGUCCUCCAUAUCCCAGGGUUCAUAUCCGUACACAACACUCCGUCUGACCCCCAGCCAGAGGAUAAAUGGAUCCCCCGCUAUUGGCAGGAAGAAGCUUGGUGUCACCUCUAAAGCUCCACAUCACACUAACGCACUGGUACAGUGUGAUGAAUUUAUGAUUGGAAAAUCAACUGAAGUUUAACCAAGGAAAUCCAACAGAAGAUUGUGGAACACAUGCUGACCAGCGCUGGCCUGCCUCAGUCUCAGGCAGAUGGAGAAUCAGUGUUAAACUGUUUUGUGGUUCUAUGACCUCCAGGUAGUGACCUCAGUAGGGCCACAGGACUGCUUUUUUUCGGAUUUAUUGAAAUACUCGAGGUCCAGAGUGACAUAUUUAACCAUAUAUUAUUUUAAUCACAGAGCUGACUCGGGCUGUAGGGUAAACUGCAGCUUUGAAAUUGCUUAUUUAAUGCCCUUUGACUGAAGUUUAAAUUACAAACAACUGAUGUUUGUUGUUCAACUUCCAACAAUAUUGCUGUUUCAAUAUAUUAUCUGCUAGUCUGACAAUUUUAUGGUUUAUCUUUAAUCUUGUGUAAUAAAAACUUUCAUUUCAAUGGAGCCUCUAUUUUA
rnacentral:lncRNA from 1 species